rnacentral:rRNA from 1 species
UACGUAGGGUGCAAGCGUUGUCCGGAAUUAUUGGGCGUAAAGAGCUUGUAGGCGGUUUGUCGCGUCUGCUGUGAAAUUUCGGGGCUCAACCCCGAACUUGCAGUGGGUACGGGGCAGACUAGAGUGUGGUAGGGGGAGACUGGAAUUUCUGGUGUAGCGGUGAAAUGCGCAGAUAUCAGGAGGAACACCGAUGGCGAAGGCAGGUCUCUGGGCCACUACUGACGCUGAGAAGCGAAAGCAUGGGGAGCGAACAGG